rnacentral:rRNA from 1 species
UACGAGGGGUGCAAGCGUUGCUCGGAAUUAUUGGGCGUAAAGGGUAGGUAGGUGGUCUCAUUUGUCAGGGGUGAAAGCCUUGGGCUUAACCCAAGAAGUGCCCCUGAAACGGUGAGACUAGAGUCUUGGAGAGGUGAGUGGAAUUCCCGGUGUAGCGGUGAAAUGCGUAGAGAUCGGGAGGAACACCAGAGGCGAAGGCGGCUCACUGGACAAGCACUGACACUCAACUACGAAAGCGUGGGGAGCAAACAGG